rnacentral:lncRNA from 1 species
CUCAACUCUCAGCACAGAAUGGGGUUUGUCCCGGCCGUUUGGCCUUCAGCUGGAUCUGCAGCUGGCUCAGCCCUCAAAUGCAGGGUUGCUGGAGAGUUUUUAUUCAAAAAAAAGCCCAAGAGGAGAAAAAGCCCAGUUAGUAACAGCUGCUUUUAAACUAGCUAUUCCAGACUGUGGGAGAGGCUCCCUUUCCGGUUAGGCCGCAGGCUCCUUCCCCACAUGGAGUACGCUGUGCGCUGUGGCAGCAGCGUGGAGAUGGCCAGCCCACCGCCACACACACCAGCUUGGGUUCUUGGUCAGACAGGAAGCCAGUGACAGCUUUCAGAGUGAAGUGAUAAAGGAAGAACAGAAGACAAGGAAAGUGACCUUCCCCAGCAACAGUGGUUUGGAUGGAUUGAUAAAGGUGUAGUUCCCUACUAGGAGACCAACAAAAAUACAGAAAGAGUCAUUCAUCUCUGCAAAGAGACCUGAGCUGGUACAACCAGGAUGGCAAUUUGCUCCUCUGGAUGUGUUCCCAAGGAACUCAAAAAAGACCCAGAGGGUUUAAAUUGUCCUACCAAAAUCCCUAUGCAGGCAUCUGUCCCUGAUGGCUCAUUCAGCAUCCUCAAGUCUUCAGCAAAAAAUCCCCUGGAAGAUCCUGCCCUGCAGCCCCUGGUAAGAAGGAUGUCAUCUGGGAAAGUACAUGAACAGGAUCCUUGGAUGGUCAUGUUGUCUGAGACUCAGGAAUCUAAGAAAUUCAGUACCUGGAAAAGUCCACAUCUCUGUGCUAUAGAACGGAAAAAAGAGUGAGAGUGUGGCUCACACCGUCUUGAGGGGACAAAUGAGCUUAGACAACUCGGCAGCCAACGAGCAGGAGAUGGGGAGCUACCGAGCAGGACAGCUCGAUGCCAAGAGCAAGCAGGGAGCUGAUGUGCCACCAGCUUCAUCUGAAUAUUCAGGAAAGUAAGUUAAAUGGUGACACCUUGUCCUGGCACAUAUCCUAUCCUCUCCUGUAAAACAAACCCUGGCACACAGCACAUGUCGUGUCACUUUCUUUUUUUCUUUUGGAGGAAGAGUGAAAAAAUUCUGCACAUUUGUGAGACAUCUGCACCUAAAGCCACAAUAGCAGGGUAUGUAGAUAACUCUGCCCUUCAAAAAAUAAAUCCUGG